ACGAACGCUGGCGGCAGGCUUAACACAUGCAAGUCGAGCGCUGUAGCAAUACAGAGCGGCAGACGGGUGAGUAACGCGUGGGAAUCUACCCAUCCUUACGGAACAACUCCGGGAAACUGGAGCUAAUACCGUAUACGCCCUACGGGGGAAAGAUUUAUCGAGGAUGGAUGAGCCCGCGUUGGAUUAGCUAGUUGGUGGGGUAAAGGCCUACCAAGGCGACGAUCCAUAGCUG
rnacentral:rRNA from 1 species